rnacentral:rRNA from 1 species
GACGAACGCUGGCGGCGUGCUUAACACAUGCAAGUCGUACGGUAAGGCCCUUUCUUGGUUGCACGAGUUGCGAACGGGUGGGUAACACGUGCGUAACCUACCCACCACUUAGUGUGAACUCUAGGAAACUGAUGCGGAUUAUUACUAGGUACGCCUGCUGCAUGGUGGGGGUGUGAAAGCUCCUGGGUUUGGGGAGGGACUGGCGGCCUAUCAGCUUGGUGGGGGGGUAGUGGCCUACCAAAGCGGAGACGGGGAGCCGGCCGGGGAGGGUGGCCCGCCAAAUUGGGAAUGAGAACAGGCCCAGAAUCCCAAGGGAGGCAGGAGGGGGGAAAAUUGCCCCAUGGGGGCAAGCCCGAUGCCGGCAAGCCGCGUGCGGGAUGAAGGGCUUCGGGUUGGAAACCGUCUUCCGCAGGGAAGAAGCCUUUUGUGACGGUACCUGCAGAAGAAGCACCGGCUAACUACGUG